AUACUUACCUGGCAGGGGAGAUGGCAUGAUCACCAGGUGGUUUUCCCAGGGCUAGGCCCACCCUUUGCACUCCGGGUGUGCUGACCCCUGCAAUUUCCCCAAAUGUGGGAAACUUGACUGCAUAAUUUGGUAGUGGGGGACUGCAAUCGUGCUCUCCCCUG
ensembl:snRNA U1 U1 spliceosomal RNA